AAACUUAUUCUAGGUAGACAAGGAAAGAGUCAACAAUGCACACAUGGAAAUUCAAAAAAAAUUGGCAUUCAUUCACUAGCAGAAGCCUUUCCGUUUGCGAAAAAACUUUAUGGCACUAAGGUUCCUAAGGACGCUGAUUCCUUCUAAACCUGAAAUCAUUGCUAUUUAGUGUGCAUCAGGUUGAAUUUCUCCCGUAUACCAAAUAAUAUUUCAGAAUUGUUGUGCUUUACAUGUGCCGCUUAGCAGGAUAUAUAGAUUUUGAGUAAGUAAUUACAAACACCUAAACUCUUAAAAGACGGUAUAGAAACUUAACCAUAAUAAUAUUGCUAAGAUUGGUUGAACAUCUCUUUGGGUCAGGACCUGUGGGAAACAUCUCACAAACUUUCCUGCAUGUGUUUCUCUCCAUGACCAUUAUAAGGUUGUUCUUAAGAUCCACAUAGUAAAGGGGUGCCUGGGAGGCUCAGUCGGUUAAGCGCCAAUCUCUUGACUUCGGCUCAGGUCAUGAUCUCAUGGUUCGUGAGUUCAAGCCCUCCGUCGGGCUCCGGGUUGACUGUGUGGAGCCUGCUUGAGAUUCUCUCUCUCUUCCCCUCGCCUGCUUAUGCUCUUUUCCUCUCUCUAAAUAAAUACAUAAACUUAAAAAAAUCCCAAUAUUACAGAUGACGAUCCCAUUAUAACAACUGUUAGUGGUCAUUUUGUUGUUACCAAGUGUAGGCACUGUUAUAAGCACUUUAGAUAUUUAUUAUCACUUUUCACCUUCUUUAAGCGCUGGGAGUCUUCUAUCCCUGUGGAAUGGGAGUCUGAGGGGGGGACUAUGGGGUGAGUGGCAGACUGUGUGAGAUUGGAGAAGUGCAGGGAAGUGUUUAGAUGCCCUAUGUGCGGUGGGCCCCCUGAGUAAAUCCAAGAGUAGUCCUGAAAUUCCAAUAAAAACGGCAAGGAAACUAUGGAGAAUCAGACAAGCAGCAAGAAAAGAGGCAAGUGCUCCAAGUGUACAAAGGAGCUUGUUGUUUAAAGAGAGAGGAAAGAGAAUUUGAUUUAGAAAACUAGUAAAUUGCUGGGAAGAAUUAAAAAAAAAAUGCAGUAUUUAACCUUACAGUCUCCUUCACAGCUAAUAAUGAGCUGGUUCAGACAAGGUCACAGGCAUAAAAAUGGUCCUGAGGGGUGCUUUUGGAUCAGGAGUGGAGUGAAAAAAGAUGGUUAGAAACGGCACUAUAGACCCUGGAAAAGUCCAAAUCACCCAUAAUUCCUGGGUUCUGUGGGAAUCUUUCCGGAUAGCUCAUUGUUUUGUCUGCUCUGUUAAACUCCUGUCUUCCCACAGAACGAAUGACUACGUGUCCCAACGCAGACACAAGCGAAGGGUGCACCUUUAUUUUUCUCAGUUUCCCUCCGUGUCCAUCUCCCGAGGUGAAGAGAAGCAAAUCUCAGAAUGAUCAACCACCUGGGUCGUUCCCAGAAAUAGAGAAAGAUACAGAACAGCCCCAGGACCACAUCUAACAUGAAUUCAUGAAUUCGGCUGUAAUCUUGGUUUCUCUUUUCACCUCCAGAUGCCCACAGCACCUUGUCUCCCUAUUUCAGCCUUCGUCAGGGUUGGCCUCGAAUUGCAGGGACAGACUUUGGUUGCGGUGGUUAUUCAUUAUUGAAACAUCAAAAUCUUGGGGAGCAGGAAAGGGUAUUUCUUAAUCACUUGUAGGUGGGCUCAUUUCAAAAACUCAGCCAUGCUUUGAGCCUAGACAUUGAUAAGAUUGUGGGGUAAUAUAUUGGUGUUGCUUUAAGCUGCUAAAUGUGUGACAAUUUUUAUGGUACCUACAGAGAAUGAGAACACAGGUGAAAACAAGGAAGGAUCCCAAUCUACGAGGGAUUAUUAGAAAGGCUAUUAGGUUAGACGCUUAAGUGGAAUGAAUAAGGUUAAGACCCAGUUAUUGGGGCUAGAAUACAAGGGGGAGGAACACAGGACAAACACAGAAUCUGAGUUAUUAGAACUCGCACAAAGUUGUGGAAUGAGACUCCCAUUUAAGCUAACUGACAUAGGGUCACUUGGGCUGCUAGAGGAUAGGUCCAUAUAUACACUCAGACUCAAGGACAGAAUUAGUUAAAAUCUUGGUGUGAAGUCAGAAUCACAGUGAUAAGAACAAGCACAAACAGGUUUCAAAGAGAUAGGGGCGGAUGGAUGGGAAAAUCUGCCCGCAGCAAUGUUUUCCAAAGUGCGGCUAAGAAAUCCCUUGUUGCCAUAAAUAAAUGUAGAGGUUUUCAUCAAAUAAGUUAAAAAUUUAAUAAGAAUGUUCUGAUUAUAUAUUGCUAUUCACAGGUCAUCCCCAAACUUAGUAGCUUAAGACGGUGGUUUAUUGAACUUCAUGAUUCUGUGAGUCAGGGUUGAGUUGAACAAUAUGUCUACUCCACAGGUCAACUGGGGUCAUUUGGUGAGAUGCAUCAGGCUGGACUGGAGUGGAGGAGCCAAGAUAGGUUCACUCACACACCUAGGGUCUUGACAGGAGCAUUCAGAAGGUCAGGGUCAGCCCUACCCUUCGUUUUUUAUGCAGUCUUAGGCCUUUCGCUGUGGUAUCUUCACCAAGUUGAGUUUUCUUACAAGAUGGUUCUGGGUUCCAAGAGCGGGUGUUACCAGAGUACCAAAUGGAAUCUACUAGCCUUCUUAUGGCUGAGACUUGGAAGGUCCAGAAUAUCCCAUUUUAACACAACUAAUUACAAAUUUCAACAUGUGGGGUGCCUGGGUGACUCCGUUGGUGAGGCAUCCGGCUCUUGACUUCAGCUCAGGUCAUGAUCUCAUGGUUCGUGGGUCGAGUCCUACGUAGGGCUCUGCAGUGGCAGUUCAGAGCCUGCUUGGGAUUCUCUCUCUUCCUUUCUGUCUGCCCCUCCCCUGCUCACAUGCUCUGUCUGUCUCUCAAAAUAAAUAAACACAUUUUUUUUUUUUACUAUGUGUGAAUUGGCAACACUCAAAGACCUUUUCUUGAUUCUUCCAAAAAUUAAGAGAUUGUACAAUAUGCCAUUUUUGGAAGUUUCGUUAAUCAACCUUUAAGGUUAAUUUUUCUGGCUAACCUGUCAUUUCUACACACAUAAAAAUGGAGGUUUUUGUUUCAGAAACAACAGUGUUCAGAAUCAGAGAGCCAUAAGAGUGAACAAGCAAGUGGAAAUCAUUACCCUUUAUAUUUAUUUCUGUAUAAAAUAAGCAAGCUACAGACAAGGAGUCGCAUAGUCUUAUAAUUAACUUGGUGUACCGGCCCUGACUCUGGGGAGUCUCCCGGGUUGGGUGGGGAAGAUGAAUUGAUUUUUAUUGUUUUUUGUUCUGUUUUCCCAAUCUGCAUGCCUUUCCCUAAAAUAACAUUUCAACAUGUCUAAAACGUUGUUCUAUGGGACCACAAGUGCCUGACUUAAGAAGGCCCCAAAUUUAAUGUUGUAAAGACAGGUUUUGGUAUCAGUGGUACAUGUGGACUUAAAUAAAUAAUAAACCUUUAUUUUCCAAAGUAUAUUAAGCCGGCUGUAUGCAAUAGCAUAAUAAAUUGUUCAAUCACCUUCAAGUCAUUUCGCGAGCCAGUAAAGCCCCUCUAUUUUAGGAGGGUAAGGACUCAGAAAAUGAGCUGUUUAGGAGUUAUAAAUAGCACAUUAAUUCAACUAUCUGUAAUGCAAUGAUCAAGUUCCCAUUCCUUUAAAGGGACAGACGUCUCUCCUAAUCCUGCCAGUUCUUCUGUCAUUGGUCCUACAGGGGACCAGAUUAUGGAUGAAUCGGUAUAUAAAUCCAUCAGCACGGAUUUUAAAAGGAAGAAACAGAAAUCUCCAACACAGGUCCUUUCUGAUUGUCCAGUUUUCCUGAAAAUAAUCCUCCUCUUAAAGUACUUCUCCCUUGAUCUUCCGUUUAUCCUUUUUUUUUUGGGGGGGGGGGGAAUCUAUAUUGUAUAAGGAGUUCAACUUCUUAAAUAAAUGCACAUGUAUGCAAAAUAUUAUGUACAAUUUCUAGAGAACUCAAGGAUUUUGGAAGCUGAACAUGAAUUCCAAUGUAACAGAAAGAAAAAUAUACAUGUUGUAAAUGACAAGUUUCUAUAAAUAACUUGCAAGUGAAAAUUUUGCUCCUAAGGUUACAGCAUAUUUAGUAUACACUGAUAAUUUUUAAAAAACGUAUUUACUGAUCCCUUAUGUAAUGUGGUCUAUGAUAAGGCAUGAUAGCAAAUAAUACACAGUUCCAGGAUUCAAGGACCUCAAGCCAGAAAGAGGUCUCUACAGGUGAAAAAGAAAUCAUAUUGCAGGGGCACCUGAGUGGCUCAGUCAGUGGAGCCUCCAACUCUUGAUUUUGGCUCAAGCCAUGACCUUGAGGUUUGUGAUUGAGCUCCACAUCAGGCUCCACACUGGCGACAGCACAGGGCACGCUUGGGAUUCUCUCUCUCCCUCUCUGCCUCUCCCCUGUUCUCUCUCUCUCAAAAUAAAUAAAUAAACAAAAGAAAUAAAGAAAUCAUCUUGCAGUUGAAUCAUUUCUACAAAACAGUUGAAAACAAUGUCAUUCAUGUAAGAUAGUCACCAAGGAAGGAGCUAGACUCUUGAAGUGUGCUGCUAGACUUCCAGAUUCUCUUCCUCUUCUGCACGUUGUAGACACUGCUAAUGCUAACAUCCAUUCAACUUCCUUCCUGCGUCCAUGUGAACAAUGGGGGGCAGAUGGUCAGCUGGAGAGUGGGUCCUUGAGCAGUUCACCCAAUGCCAGCAGUCAACCACCUUUGAAAUUCUUGUCAGUGGGAACUUUUUUUUAAAGGUUUUAAGUCCUUACUAGAUUUUCUCUUUCCAAAGCAUUUCUAAUGGACUCGUUUUGGUCCUGGGAAUCCUAAUGCAGGAAUUGUGUCAGCAGACAGCACUUCCACUGGGGGAAAGGAAAGGGAAAGAUAGAGGAACCUCAAACUACAUUCUAUUUCAUAUGAUGGAAAAGGUUGGGAAGGAACUGGAGAACAACGUAGUACGUUUUCAAAUAGUUGACAGGUUAUCACGGGAAAGAAAAAUUAUGA